rnacentral:rRNA from 1 species
UAUGGUGGCUAUAGCAGUGGUGUUCACCUCUUCCCAUUCCGAACAGAGAAGUUAAGCCCACUAGCGCCAAUGGUACUGCAUUUAUUGUGGGAGAGUAGGUCGCCGCCAAAA